CUUAUCCAAUGUUCCACAAUGAAAAUUUUUUUUUGAUGAUUUUUGACUUAAUUUUGAGUAUAAAUAAUCCUUCUGAGAUUAAAACACCUUCUGGUUUAAUCGUGAAAAUUAGUUGAAAUUGGAAAUCCUGCCAAUCUGAUUCAUGCGCCUGACCAAGAGUCCAACUUUUGAAGGACUCUAAUCCGAGUGUCAUGUCACAUUUUAAUUUUAGAUUUUUUUUAUGCUAUC
rnacentral:lncRNA from 1 species